AAGGAUGCAUCAUCUUGUGGAGGAUCAGCUUCAUAUAUUUCUUCUCGACGUCGCGGUCGAAGAUUCCUAUCUAAUUGUGGAAUUUCAAUACUCUCUUCAGGAAUAUAAGACUCAUCAUUAGGAUCUGAAUAAACUGAUGUAGGUGACGAUGACGAAUCAAUAUUUAUAAAUGUACUAUUCAGUUCAUCAGUUCCAACGCUAUUAUUAUCAUCAUCCUCUUCUCUCUCUUCAGGUAAAGGUAAGUAAACUGUUUUAGGCUUUGGUAAGUUUAAUUCUUCCCUUUUGUGUGACAAUUUUUUUUUACUCAUUUCCUGUGUAACAUCAUUUCUUUGAUCACUAAUUUUUUUUUCUUUUUCAGGUGCAGAUGUAUCAUCAUGUACAUUUCCUUCAUGUGUACUAUCUUUCCUUUCAUUACUAAUUACUUUUUCUUUUUCAGGAGCAGACUCAUUAUUAAUUAUAUUUCUUUUUACAGUGGCCUCGAGAAAUACUACAUCUCUACUUGUUAUAGUUUGCUUAUUUUUAGGGUCUAUGAAACGGUAGCCCUUUACGGAGUCACUAUAACCGACAAAAAUCAACUCACGGGAUUUUGGAUCCAGCUUUUGGCGGCGUUCUUUAGGUGGUGCCCUUUCGUCCUCAAGCCAUUCUCUGUGUAACGUCAUGUGCCUCGACGCGCCCGAAUCUACGUACCAGUUCAGCGAGUCAUUAUGUGUGGUGGCACUGGUGGCUGAAAAAGCUGCAAUAAAACCAUUAUCUUUAUUA